GACGAACGCUGGCGGCGUGCCUAAUACAUGCAAGUCGAACGCUGAAGAGGGGAGCUUGCUCUUCUUGGAUGAGUUGCGAACGGGUGAGUAACGCGUAGGUAACCUGCCUUGUAGCGGGGGAUAACUAUUGGAAACGAUAUCUAAUACCCCAUAACAGUGGAUGACACAUGUCAUUUAUUUGAAAGGGGCAAUUGCUCCACUACAAUAUGGACCUGCGUUGGAUUAGCUAGUAGGUGAGGUAACCGCCCACCUAGGCGACGAUACAGAGCCUAGCUGAGAGGGUGAUCGGCCAAACUGGGACUGAGACACGGCCCAGAAUUCUACGGGAAGGAGCAGUAGGGGAUCUUCGGACAUGGGGGCAAAGCUGGCCGAGGAACGCCGCGGGAGGGGAGGAGGGUUUCGGGUCGGAAAGCUCUGUUGUGAGUCGAGAACGAGUGGGAGGGUGGAAAGUUCACACUGUGACGGUAGCUUAACAGAAAGGGACGGCUAACUACGUG
rnacentral:rRNA from 1 species